UCGGGAUAGCCACUGGAAACGGUGAUUAAUACCGGAUACUCCUUCUUGUUAUAAGACAAGUCGGGAAAGUUUUUCGCUAAGGGAUCAGUCUAUGUUCCAUCAGCUUGUUGGUGAGGUAAUGGCUCACCAAGGCUAUGACGGAUAUCUGGUUUGAGAGGAUGAUCAGACACACUGGAACUGAGACACGGUCCAGACUCCUACGGGAGGCAGCAGUGAGGAAUAUUGCACAAUGGAGGAAACUCUGAUGCAGCAACGCCGCGUGGAGGAUGACGCAUUUCGGUGUGUAAACUCCUUUUAUUAGGGAAGAUAAUGACGGUACCUAAUGAAUAAGCACCGGCUAACUCCGUGCCAGCAGCCGCGGUAAUACGGAGGGUGCAAGCGUUACUCGGAAUCACUGGGCGUAAAGGGUGCGUAGGCUGGCUUUUAAGUCAGAUGUGAAAUCCAAUGGCUCAACCAUUGAACUGCAUUUGAAACUGAAAGCCUAGAGUUCAGAAGGGGCAGAUGGAAUUAGUGGUGUAGGGGUAAAAUCCGUAGAUAUCACUAGGAAUAUCAAAAGCGAAGGCGAUCUGCUGGGAUGAU
rnacentral:rRNA from 1 species